AGUGAAGUGGCAGAAAAGUGCCUCAGAUUUAAGCUCUGAUCAAGGAGAACACCUCCCUUUACUA
rnacentral:tRNA from 2 species